rnacentral:rRNA from 1 species
CAGCCGCCGCGGUAAUACAGAGGGUGCAAGCGUUAAUCGGGAUUACUGGGCGUAAAGCGCGCGUAGGUGGUUUGUUAAGUUGGAUGUGAAAUCCCCGGGCUCAACCUGGGAACUGCAUCCAAAACUGGCAAGCUAGAGUAUGGUAGAGGGUGGUGGAAUUUCCUGUGUAGCGGUGAAAUGCGUAGAUAUAGGAAGGAACACCAGUGGCGAAGGCGACCACCUGGACUGAUACUGACACUGAGGUGCGAAAGCGUGGGGAGCAAACAGGAUUAGAUACCCCAGUAGUCCCUGUCUCUUAUAC